GGGCAUAGUGGGGCAUGCCUGUAAUCUCUCCUGCUGUGGAGGCUGAGACUGGCAGUUCUCUUGAGGUCAGGAGUUCUGAGCUGCAGUGGGCUAAGGCGAUCAGGUAUCUUUGGUAAGUCCUGCAUUAACAGGAUGAGUUCCCAGGAGAGGAGUACUACCAGGUUUUGUAAAGAGGGGCAAACUGGCCCAGGAAGGAAAAAGAACAAGAUGAAGCUCCUGUGUCAGUCAGUGGGAUCAAGCUUGUGAGUAGCCCCUGCAUUUCCAGCCUAGGUGAGAUAGGGAGACCCAAA
rnacentral:SRP_RNA from 1 species